rnacentral:tRNA from 1 species
UUCCUGGUAGUCUAGUGAUUAGGAUUUGGCCCUUUCACCGCCGCGGCCUGGGUUCGAUUCCUGGUUAGGGAA